GUACUGGAGCCAGGCCCUUUCUGCCUAAGCAGGACACUCAAAGAGGCAGUCUUUGCCCUGCAGCCCUCCACUGGCCCAGCCAACACUCUCUCAGAGCUUAGACAUCUGCUUCUCAGAGCACCCAAACUGACAGGGUGUAUCCAGUAUAUUUGAUUCUGAAGCUAGAGAGACCCAGCUGGCCAUACACAUUGGGGAAUCAUUGACAGAUGGCAGCUGAGAUCUGAGAGCGGUUGACCUCACUUCACAAGGUUGAGUGGAAUUAGGAGGGACAAACUUCUGUGACAGGAGCCUGAGGAGCACCAAACAACUUGCAACUUAUGUUUCCCUUUUAAUCACAAAG
rnacentral:lncRNA from 1 species